rnacentral:rRNA from 1 species
CAUUAUUGAAUAAACUUGGUUGGGUUGUUGCUGGCUCUUAGGAGCAUGUGCACGCCUUCCAUUUUUCUUUAACCACCUGUGCACCCUAUGUAGACUUGAACAACUUUCGAGACAAUGUAUUCGGUUGGAGAAUUGCUGUGGUGAAAGCCGCCAGCUUUUCUUGUGUUCAAGYCUAUGUCUUAUAUUAAACUCCUAAGAAAGUAUUAGAAUGUAAUCAAUGGGCCGUUGUGCCUUUAAACACAAAUACAACUUUCAACAACGGAUCUCUUGGCUCUCGCAUCGAUGAAGAACGCAGCGAAAUGCGAUAAGUAAUGUGAAUUGCAGAAUUCAGUGAAUCAUCGAAUCUUUGAACGCACCUUGCGCUCCUUGGUACUCCGAGGAGCAUGCCUGUUUGAGUGUCGUGAAAUUCUCAACCUUUCUAGCUUUUGCAAGCUGGAUUAGGCUUGGAUUAUGGGAGCUGCUGGCUUUUGAAGUCGGCUCUUCUGAAAUACAUUAGCAAGAUCAUUGCUGCCUUAUCACUGGUAUGAUAAUUAUCUAUACCGUUGAGAGGUGGUGGUUUCCUUUAUUGGAGGGUUUUGCUCCCAACCGUCUUGACUUUUAAGACAACAUUUGACAAUUUUGACCUCAAAUCAGGUAGGACUACCCGCUGAACUUAAG